AGAGUUUGAUCCUGGCUCAGGACGAACGCUGGCGGCGUGCUUAACACAUGCAAGUCGAGCGGAAAGGCCCUUCGGGGUACUCGAGCGGCGAACGGGUGAGUAACACGUGAGCAACCUGCCCCUGGCUCCGGGAUAGCUCCGGGAAACCGGGAUUAAUACCGGAUGUGACCUCCUUGUGCAUGCUUGGGGGUGGAAAGGGU
rnacentral:rRNA from 1 species